rnacentral:rRNA from 1 species
UACGAAGGGGGCUAGCGUUGCUCGGAAUCACUGGGCGUAAAGGGUGCGUAGGCGGGUCUUUAAGUCAGGGGUGAAAUCCUGGAGCUCAACUCCAGAACUGCCUUUGAUACUGAAGAUCUUGAGUCCGGGAGAGGUGAGUGGAACUGCGAGUGUAGAGGUGAAAUUCGUAGAUAUUCGCAAGAACACCAGUGGCGAAGGCGGCUCACUGGCCCGGUACUGACGCUGAGGCACGAAAGCGUGGGGAGCAAGCAGG